AGAAACUUUAGCACAUGGCCGGUCCGCCGGCCGCUGUGGCCCGAGCCGCCCCGCUAGUGGCGUAGUCCCCGCCUCAGCUCCAGAUCGCAGCUUACCAGCAGCCACCGCAACCGCAGCGGAGGGUCGCCUACCUGGCGGUGCGGAGAGUGGUGCGGACCAGCGUGGGAGGAGAAGGGGGCGGCGACGUCGGGGUCCCCGCAGGGGAGGGGCAACUCCGCGGUGGCAAUAGCCACCCUUAAGGCAUCCAGGGAGGGGACUGAGAACCAGCUGAAGGGUCUGCAGGCUCCGAUAGGGGAGUGUCAGUGCGUUCCCCGCCCCUCGGCGCAGAUGCUGACGACGCGCGCGGGCUUCCCUGGCCCGGGUCUGCGGAGCUAGCCCUGUUACCUAGCGACUCGCUCCGGGAAGCCCACGCUGACGCGCUAGGAGCUGGGCUGCGGCAGAGGGGAAGGGCGGGGAGGGAAGGGGAGAGAAGAGGAGGGAUAAGGAGGGGAAUGAAAGAGGAGAGGAGGGGAGCUCUAGAGGGAGAGGGGGCAGGGGAAGCUGGCGUUGCCGGCAAAAGCUCCUCCCUCUACCUCCACGUCGCUGCUGGGGAGUGGGCCGGGGAAGACGUGGCCUCUGCCUGGUCCCGAGGAUUUGGAACCGGCUCCUGGGUGAGGGUGGAUGGAGGGAAAAGGGUGAUGCAGGUUCCCCUGUGCUGGGGUUACAGCAGCAGGUGGCGGCUAUGUGGCUCAUGGAGGCCUGCCGCUCACAGGAAUGCAGAGAUGAGCCAGUGAAUGUGGCCUUGGGCGUGUGGGUGUGUGUGAGACGCCCCCACCCACAAGGAGUAUUUGGAGACCCAGGAACCUGGGUGAGAGAGGCGCCACCCCUUUCCUGGCCUGCCUCUCUUCUUCCUGGACAUUUUGUUCUUGCGCUGUGCUCAUCAUGGAAGCUCUGGACUAUCUCACCGAGCUCCUCCUACCUCUCGGGGAACCAGAGGAUGGCUGCUAGGUAGUGACAGCUUUGUUCCUCACCCCUUGAUGCCCGACCAGUGACCAGGUGUCUAGUUUCAGGAGGUCAAAGACCUGCCUCCAUGUGCCUUCCUCCUUAAGGAUUUGCGGCCUCUCAGGCCAGACUGGGCCUCAGGCCCAGGCAUGCCCAAAUCUUUACAGCUUAUAGGACGUUUCAAAGUAACUUAACAUCCUAACCAAAAUAGUCAUCCCCGAAGGUCAUAGCUAAGAACUGACCCCUGGGGUACCUAAAUCUGAACACGCGUUUUCUGUAAAGUGUACUGUAACUAGGUUUUCUGUAAGGUGUCUCUUGGUUCUCCAGAACCUUUCCAAAAUGCACCCCUAAGGCCCACAAAAGAGUCCUCGUCAAAGCAGACAGGGACCACAGCCUCCAAAGACGGUGAGGCAAACUUUCAAAUGCAGUGGGUACCUCUAGGUAGAACCCAGACCCUUGGAUUCAGCUGGAUACAAGGACUCUGCCAUGUCUAAAGGACCCUCAAACCUGCCAAGAUCCUGCCCCUUCCUUAAUGCCCCAGAACAGGAACAGCUGCCACCUCCCUGAGGACCGACCCAGCCUCAUCCUUCACUCCCUCCAAGGCUGCUGUUGUCCUGGCUGGGGUGACUAUGAGGAGGUGGAGGCAGAAGACCGACCUUCCAGAGAAUCACACCUGCCCAGGACCCACAUCCCAAUUCUUAAGCCAGUAUCUCUGCAGCGAGGAGCCCCUCCCUCCAGGAGGACUUUGAGAAUGGGGGUGGGGGAGGGGUCGCUGAGGUUUUUGUUGUCAGAGUUGGCCCCAAAACAGGGCUUUUUCUCUGUUCAUUUAUUCUUCUAUAUUGUUGAACCCACUACUAGCCCUUCCAAAUAGAAACCAGCACCCUCCUCCCUACAGCAUUUUAUUUUUCAACAGAAAACGGCUGUCAUUCCUAGCCCCUGGGGCAACAGUUAUGUUCUGACAUUUCUCAGCAAGACUGGGAGCAGCACCUCUGAGUUUGCCCCCAGUUUUUAUGGGUGACGCAGCUUUUCAACCGGCUUUCUUCAGCGCUAACUUCCCACUUGCAGGAAUAAUCUGACAUGUCACUUGGUCAGGGAGUCCAGUACUUAUAAUACUCAAAACCUCAGAGAGUCUCUUCUAUGCCCAGCCAUUUGCAGGCCUCACUAUUCCAGAAGACAUAGAGAUGGGGCAGGGGAGGUGGAUGAUUGAUUAGGAUUUCUGAGAGUCAGGGCAGGGGAGGUGGGUAAUUGAUUAGUUUGUCUGAGUCUCUGUCAUAGUUUUUAGUAUCAUAGGAAAAAAAAACCUAGUUCAUUCAUGGUGUGUGUGUGUGUGUGUGUGUGUGUGUGUGUGUGUGUUAUAUGGUGCAGGUAUGUGAUCAUAUGCUGUAUGCAUAUGGCAUUGCAUGUCCACAUGUAUGCAGAGGCCAGAGGCUGAUUGGUCAAUGCCUGGUGUCUUUCCUCCAAUGCACUUUGCCUUUAAAAUUUGAGCCAGGCUCUCUCAAGGAACCUUACAUUAAUCAGUUUGGCUAGAAUGACUGGCCGACAAACUUCAGAAAUUGUCCCACCCACACCACCACCCAUGCAGGCACGCACCACUAUGUCUAUGUUUUUAUGGCAAGCACUUUACCACCUGAGCGCCCUCCCUCUCCGAGAUCCUGAACUCAGCACACUGAUGAGAUAGAUCCACACGACCACGUUCAUGCAUCAGUAUGUGCAACAGCUAGGCUAUGGAUUCCAUCUAAACGUUCCACAACAGAUGGAUCGACUAUGGAACAUAGACACAAGAGACCACUAUUCAGUAGCAAAAAAGAAUGAAAUCUUGUCGUACGAGGCAUCCUCGAUGAGGACAUUCUAUUAACUGGAAUGGGCCAGGCACAGUAUAGUAAUCAGGACUCCCUAGGACAGCAGAACCGAACGAGAGGAUGAGCAAAUAUUAAAAGGAGAUUUAUCAGGUUGGCUAUGUAAUAUGGUCUGAGUAGUUGAACAAGGACUAUCUUAGGCCAGAGAGACUGAGACCCUGGUAGUUGCUCAGUAUAUAAGGCUGGAUGUCUCAGCAGACCCAGUCUAGUGCUGAAGGCCAGUGCUGAAGGCCCUGAUGAUUUCUGGAGGGCUGGUCUCUAGUCCACAUUGGAAGCCCAAAGCUGGGACCUAGUAACAAUGAAGGAUGCAGCAGAGCCAGUAACAAAGUAGAUGCACUUGCCAACAAGAGUGAAGGCAAGCAGGCAAAAAGAAACAAAAACC
rnacentral:lncRNA from 1 species